rnacentral:rRNA from 1 species
GGGUUGUGAGGUUAAGCGACUAAGCGUACACGGUGGAUGCCCUGGCAGUCAGAGGCGAUGAAGGGCGUGCUAAUCUGCGAUAAGCGCCGGUAAGGUGAUAUGAACCGUUAUAACCGGCGAUACCCGAAUGGGGAAACCCAGUGUGAUUCGUCACACUAUCAUUACGUGAAUACAUAGCGUAAUGAAGCGAACCGGGGGAACUGAAACAUCUAAGUACCCCGAGGAAAAGAAAUCAACCGAGAUUCCCCCAGUAGCGGCGAGCGAACGGGGAGGAGCCCAGAGCCUGAAUCAGCAUGUGUGUUAGUGGAAGCGUCUGGAAAGGCGCGCGAUACAGGGUGACAGCCCCGUACACAAAAGCGCAUGUGUUGUGAGCUCGAUGAGUAGGGCGGGACACGUGGUAUCCUGUCUGAAUAUGGGGGGACCAUCCUCCAAGGCUAAAUACUCCUGACUGACCGAUAGUGAACCAGUACCGUGAGGGAAAGGCGAAAAGAACCCCGGCGAGGGGAGUGAAAAAGAACCUGAAACCGUGUACGUACAAGCAGUGGGAGCACCCUUUGGGGUGUGACUGCGUACCUUUUGUAUAAUGGGUCAGCGACUUAUAUUCUGUAGCAAGGUUAACCGAAUAGGGGAGCCGGAGGGAAACCGAGUCUUAAUUGGGCGUUAAGUUGCAGGGUAUAGACCCGAAACCCGGUGAUCUAGCCAUGGGCAGGUUGAAGGUUGGGUAACACUAACUGGAGGACCGAACCGACUAAUGUUGAAAAAUUAGCGGAUGACCUGUGGCUGGGGGUGAAAGGCCAAUCAAACCGGGAGAUAGCUGGUUCUCCCCGAAAGCUAUUUAGGUAG